rnacentral:tRNA from 1 species
GCAGGAUUGGCGAAAUUGGCAGACGCGCUAGAUUUAGGUUCUAGUGAGUAAUCGUAUGGGUUCGAGUCCCAUAUCCUGCACCA